rnacentral:rRNA from 1 species
UACGUAGGGUCCGAGCGUUGUCCGGAAUUACUGGGCGUAAAGAGCUCGUAGGUGGUUUGUCGCGUUGUUCGUGAAAACUCACAGCUCAACUGUGGGCGUGCGGGCGAUACGGGCAGACUUGAGUACUGCAGGGGAGACUGGAAUUCCUGGUGUAGCGGUGGAAUGCGCAGAUAUCAGGAGGAACACCGGUGGCGAAGGCGGGUCUCUGGGCAGUAACUGACGCUGAGGAACGAAAGCGUGGGUAGCGAACAGG